rnacentral:sRNA from 1 species
GACGGCGGAGGUCAACGCCCGACAACGCGAUGCGCCCUCGGUCGCGAUUUGA